rnacentral:snRNA from 1 species
AUACCUUUCUUGACCUUUUGGCUAAGAUCAAGUGUAGUAUCUAUUCUAAUCAGUUUAAUAUCUAAUACGUGGUUGAUAGAACUACAUUAUAUUAAAUGUAUUUUUAUAGGGGGAGGGCCCACUUACAAUAGGAACACAACACAAAAUGAUGAUGAUGAUUGAACUUUAU